rnacentral:lncRNA from 1 species
UGAAUACAUUCCUCAUGUUUAAAACCUUUUCAAAUUAUCUUAUUAUUUUAAUUUCCACCUUUUAGGUUGGUUGGUAAUCUUUAAUAUUUAUAAUUCAUCCUUAUUUCCCCAGAGUCAAUGUGGCCCAUUAUCAAUCAAAGUCUGUGCUGGAGGGCGAUUAGUUUACAGGGUUAGGAGGAAAGGAAAGUGAAGAGGAAGAUUCUAGGGCCCGAUUCUCAACCUUCCUCUCCUUCCUCCAGAACUGACUUCUCUUGGACUCCUUCUGUUUCACAUGUUUUUCUCUUUUAGGGCCUCAUUCUCUUCCUAAGGACCUGGACUAUGCCUUCUUCAAUAACAGUCAUCUUAACUACAUCCUGCUUCCCAAGUCGUCCUCCCUGGGGAUGUCUGGGACACUCCGGCCUCACAGAGUUUUCUCAAUCGGCAGUUCCCAUAUAUAUUGUUAUUGAACAAGAGAACUGGAGACACAAAAAUGAAACAGGAUAACAGACAACAAUGUUCAGAAAAUAUCUGUAAAGGAAACAAUCAGCCAUUGCCAAUCUUUUUGGGAAAUAGGAAGAAAUCCAAUAAAUGAAAUGUAGAUUAAUGAACUUCAUACAGAGUCUUGCCAAAUUGCCUAGGAUGACUUCAAACUCACAAUUCUCGUGCCUCAACCUCCUAAGUAGCUGGAAUUGCAGGCAUGUGCCAAAAUACC